rnacentral:rRNA from 1 species
GAUUGAACGCUGGCGGCAUGCUUUCCCCAUGCAAGUCGAACGGCAGCGCGGGCUUCGGCCUGGCGGCGAGUGGCGAACGGGUGAGUAAUGCAUCGGAACGUGCCCAGUAGUGGGGGAUAGCCCGGCGAAAGCCGGAUUAAUACCGCAUACGACCUGAGGGUGAAAGCGGGGGACCGAAAGGCCUCGCGCUAUUGGAGCGGCCGAUGUCGGAUUAGCUAGUUGGUGGGGUAAAGGCUUACCAAGGCGACGAUCCAUAGCUGGUCUGAGAGGAUGAUCAGCCACACUGGGACUGAGACACGGCCCAGACUCCUACGGGAGGCAGCAGUGGGGAAUAUUGGACAAUGGGCGAAAGCCUGAUCCAGCAAUGCCGCGUGAGUGAUGAAGGCCUUAGGGUUGUAAAGCUCUUUUACCCGGGAUGAUAAUGACAGUACCGGGAGAAUAAGCUCCGGCUAACUCCGUG